rnacentral:rRNA from 1 species
CACAGGUAGCAAUACCGGGUGGCGAGUGGCGCACGGGUGCGUAACACGUAUGCAACCUACCCUAUACAGGCGAAUAACCUUUAGAAAUGAGGGCUAAUUCCCCAUAGUAUUAUGAUAAGGCAUCUUUAUAUAAUUAAAGAUUUAUCGGUAUAGGAUGGGCAUGCGUCCCAUUAGUUAGUUGGCGGGGUAACGGCUCACCAAGGCUAUGAUGGGUAGGGGUUCUGAGAGGAUUAUCCCCCACACUGGUACUGAAACACGGACCAGACUCCUACGGGAGGCAGCAGUAAGGAAUAUUGGGCAAUGGGCGAGAGCCUGACCCAGCCAUGCCGCGUGCAGGAAGACGGCCCUAUGGGUUGUAAACUGCUUUUAUACGGGAAUAACCUUGCGUACGAGUACGGAUCUGCAUGUACCUUAUGAAUAAGCAUCGGCUAACUCCGUGCCAGCAGCCGCGGUAAUACGGAGGAUGCGAGCGUUAUCCGGAUUUAUUGGGUUUAAAGGGUGCGUAGGCGGGAUUAUAAGUCAGUGGUGAAAUUUCUGGGCUCAACCUGGGCGCUGCCGUUGAUACUGCAGUUCUUGAGUGUAGUUGACGUUGGCGGAAUGUGUCAUGUAGCGGUGAAAUGCAUAGAGAUGACACAGAACACCGAUAGCGAAUGCAGCUGACGAAACUAUAACUGACGCUCAUGCACGAAAGCGUGGGGAUCAAACAGGAUUAGAUACCCUGGUAGUCCACGCUGUAAACGAUGAUGACUAGCUGUAGGCGAUACACUGUCUGUGGCUAAGCGAAAGCGAUGAGUUAUCCACCUGGGGAGUACAUCGGCAA